UCCCUCCCUCUUGACCUUCCUCUCUCCCUCCCUUCUUUCCUUCCUUCCUGUGGCUCUCCUUUGUGAGUGACCUACCUCCGCUUCCUACUCUGUGACUUUGCACAUUCAAUCAUUGCCUGGCUCCACCAGCAGUAUAUAAGGUGAAAGAGGAUCCUGCCAGCUGUUCUAGGCCCAGAGGACACCUCUCUCUCUCUCUCUGUCACUCACACACACACACACACACACACACACUCUCUCUCUCUCUCUCACACACACCCACUUAUUGAUGGGGUAAUAGGAUCAAGAGGUAGCUUUGCAUCAUCAAAAAGAAGUCAGUCAUUCUAGCCUGGAGCUUUAGAAGACGAAGUAAAAAAGAAGUCAGACAGUCCUAGCUUUGAAUCCUGGCCCAGCCACUUACUAGGUGGGAGACCUUGGAUGAGGAAACUGAGGCUGAAACAGGCAAUUAAUUUGUGCAGGUGGCACGUUUACUACAUGGUGGAACCAGGAUCUGAACUCAAAUUUGUCUGUGAAUGUUUUCAGAAUAUUCACCUACAUGUUGCCCAAAGUCAAGGCUGCCCUGGGGCAGUGUGUAUACCUGAAUGACAAUCAGUACAGGCACUGAGGGAAGGGAGAACCGAUGCUGGAGAGGCAAGCAUAACUGCCACUGUUAACUUUGUGACCAAACUUCAUGUCUUGUGGCCUAAAGGACAAUCGUAUCCCUUCUGGGGGAAUUUCCCCACCUCCAUGUUGAAGCCAAGGAUGACUAGUACUCCAUGGAAAAGAGGUCAACAUGAUAACCAGGAGAUGUGGUCAUGGGGCAUUAAAAGGUUCGAAGCUGUUCCAGAAAGGAUGUCAUUGAUGUGGAAUACAGGAACUGUGGAUGCCUCCUGAAUGGGAGCUGCAAACGAUUAUCAGAGUCAAGCAAGAGGAAUGGCAAGGCAUGUGCUGAAUAACAUCACAUUAAUAUGGCUCUUAGCUACCUAACCCAUUAGGAGCCAUAAUUAGGAGAGUUUGAAACAGACUGCAAGCAUCUUCUCCAGAAAGAAGCUAGACUCUGGUGCUUCCCCGAGUGGCCCCCUGUGGUGUGGCAUGUCCGCUUCUCUUGGCAUCUAUCCCACAAAUUAGUGAGAACAUGCAACUCUUGUCUUUC
rnacentral:lncRNA from 1 species